GGAUUUGUCAGUUGGUCGGGCUUCACUGUCCGUAUUGACUUGAUAGAUUCUUACCUUCUGAAUAACCAGCAUGCUAUUAAGUUAGUGCGUUGGGAAGCAGAUCUAUUACCUUGAAAAAAUUAGAGUGCUUAAAGCAGGCUUUUGCUUGAAUAGAUUAGCAUGGAAUAAUAAGAUAGGACGGCAUGGUUCUAUUUUGUUGGUUUCUAGGAUCACCGUA
rnacentral:rRNA from 1 species